rnacentral:rRNA from 1 species
GGACAACCUACCCAAGAGUCAGGGAUAACCCCGGGAAACUGGGGAUAAUACCUGAUAGGCCACGACAUCUGGAAUCGAGUUGUGGUUUAAACGCAAGGCUCUUGGAUGGGUCUGCGGCGGAUUAGGUUGUUGCCGGUGUAACGUACCAGCAAGCCUGUAAUCCGUACGGGUUGUGGGAGCAAGAGCCCGGAGAUGGAUUCUGAGACACGAAUCCAGGCCCUACGGGGCGCAGCAGGCGCGAAAACUCUACAAUGCAGGCAACUGCGAUAGGGGAACAUCGAGUGGCACCCACCAUGGGUGUCUGUCCAGCCGUCUAAAAAACGGCUGUUAGCAAGGGCCGGGCAAGACCGGUGCCAGCCGCCGCGGUAAUACCGGCGGCUCGAGUGGUGGCCGAUAUUAUUGAGUCUAAAGGGUCCGUAGCCGGCUUUGCAAGUCCCCUGGGAAAUCCAGCGGCUUAACCGUUGGGCUUUCAUGGGAUACUACAUUGCUUGGGACUGGGAGAGGUAGGAGGUACUCAGGGGGUAGGGGUGAAAUCCUGUAAUCCUCUGGGGACCACCGGUGGCGAAGGCGUCCUACCAGAACAGGUCCGACGGUGAGGGACGAAAGCUAGGGGCACGAACCGGAUUAGAUACCCGGGUAGUCCUAGCCGUAAACGAUGCUCGCUAGGUGUCACGGCAGUCGUGAAUUGUCGUGGUGCCGUAGGGAAGCCGUGAAGCGAGCCACUUGGGAAGUACGACCGCAAGGUUGAAACUUAA